CCUUACAGUCCCCUCUAAAGCAAUUAUUCUGUUCAAAAGAGGAUUUGUUUGUGAUAUUCCUUUAAGAAUCUUUAUUUAUUCCCCCAACAGUUUCUUUUUCUGCAUCCGCUGCUCUGUUAAGUGAUCACCACAUUCAUUGUUCUCGUUUCUAUUAUUUCUGAAAAAAAUCUUCAGGAUUCUGCUUGUGGGAGUGGAUGACAUUUUUACAGUGUUUACAGACACAAAAUGAACAAGAUGUCUGUGGCAACCCUCAGACCAUUGACGCCUUCUCUCCUAUGUAUCAAAUCACACAUUUGGACGUUGACUGAACCCUCACAUGUCAGAUGCUCAAUAUUGAGCUUUAUCUAUUCCAGAAUGUCAUAUAGCUGGUAUAAGAAAGAACACUAAUCAUUCCUAAGGAAGAAAAUUAACAACGCCGUGAGUUAUAAUAUCUGGCUGAAACUGAAGGAGCUCUGUGUAAUUAAAAGUCCUUUCUGCCCUGCCUGGCCAUGGUUCUGUAUGCAUUGAUGUCUUACAAACUGAAAAAAAAAAAAGUUAUUUUCUCAUCUCCAUUCCCUAGCAUAGACAUAUUACAUGAUGUGGAAUUGAAACAAGAAAAUUGCAUUUUAAUCUUCCACUCAGAACAUAGAAGAAUGAAACAAACAAACAAAAAAUACUCUGUUGUCUUAGUCUACCACAAGCAAAAUCUGGCAGUCUCUUUGCUUUGGUAAUGGCAUAAAUUCCUUGAUUAGCCUAUAGGAUAGCCCAUUGUUCUGCUCUUUUAGUGGAAUAGCUAGCAAUUGCUUUGUCAUUUUUUCCCCAUGGUUCCUACCAUUAGUGUUGGGAGGUUUCUUCUUUGUUUUUUUGAGAAAGAGGAAAAAGUUGUUAUAUUUUCAUAAAAACUUAAAUUUCAUCCAAAAUACUUGAUUUUCAUGAAGAAAGUAAAUAUCUCUGCCCCUAGUAUACAUGUGUGGAAACUUUCAGAACCCUGAAGAUAAAUACAUUUCAAACAAGUGAGUUUGAAAAUAUCAAUAGCAAAAUAGGAAGUAAGCUAAUUAGAGAGGUAAGAACUAGAUGGCUUAGCAUUCCAAUAAUAAUAUAUAACCUUCUUUAAGAGUAAAAUCUUGGUCAAAAGACAGAUGAAAACUCCAAUAAAAUUUCACAACUCAUGGAAAAGUCUAUCUUCGUAAUUCUUUAUGAAGCAAACUAUAUAUAUAUAAAACAUAUAUAUAUAUAUAUUUGAGACAGAGUUUCGCUCUUGUUGCCCAGGCUGGAGUGCAGUGGUGCGAUCUUGGCUCAUGGCAGCCUCUGUCUCCCGGGUUCAAGUGAUUCUCCUGACACAGCCUUGUAAGUGGUUGGGAUUACAGGUGUGUGCUAUCAUGCCCGGCUAAUUCUGUAUUUUGAGUAGAGACGGGGGUUUCUCCACGUUGGUCAGGGUGGUCUCGAACUCCCGACCUCAGGUGAUACCCUCGCCUCGACCUCUCAGAAUGCUGGGAUUAGAGGCUUGAGCCACCACGCCUAGCUGCAAACAUAUUUCUUAUAUUUUCCAACAUCACAAAAUUUUACUGAGCUAUGAUAUGUACUAAAAGCUGAUAAAGAUGGUGUUGUUAUAUUUAACAGUACUCUGAAUUUUGUUGCCAUUUCUAAAAUUGUAUUCAGAGGAAAUUAUGCCCAUGUUUCUAUAGAGAGAAUUUUAAAAAAUACAUGAGCAUAGAAAUUUGAGCAACAUUGAUUAAGGUUCCAUAAAAUUGAAGCAGGAAAUAGUAUAGAAUAUACUUUUGCUCACUCUAUUAAAAUAAGUCUCUCAUAAGUAUGCUUCAGUUAAGUUCGAAGGGUAGGAAAAUUAACCUGGAACGGGGCAUUCAGAUAUAAGUAAGUUUAUUUUGGAGAAAUUUCUAUGUCAGCUGAGAUUAUUUUCUAUAAAAACAGAAGAAAGAUGAAUAUCACUAAUGAUAGCACAAACCACUAAUUAGAAGGCAGUAUGUAGAAUUUUUCUGGAAAAAUAAAACUAUAAAUGACAAAUUAAUUUUAGCAGAAAUUGUAAGAAAAUGCAAUGAGGGUAAUAGGAAUGUUAUCUUUGAAUACAAUGGACAGCAAAUUGUAAACUGAAUGUAUUCACUAACACAAAAGAGAAAAUUAC
rnacentral:lncRNA from 1 species